AACGGGCCACACCUGAAAUAGUUAGUUUAGGUAGAAACAAAAAUUGUGGCGAAAGAUGAGCAUUGUGGGUUGAGUGGAAGAUCGGGCAUAUUUGAUUUUUGAUCUUUUUUUCCUUUUCAUCGAAUUUAUGAUGGAUAAUUGUUAGUAAAAUUUUUUUUCGUGUUUACAACUGCCAGCGGAUCAGUUUGUGUCUUAAAUGAGAUGCUCCUGGAACUCUUUAGUUGAUAUUUACUAGGGACGCAUUGUAAUGGGGAAUA